AAAUUUAUAAAUCCAAAAGAUUUGUUAUUCUAAUCCUUACGUCUAGCUAGAUUUUUUCAAGUAAAUUAAUUUAAUUUAGUACUUAAUUUUAAUAAAAAAACAUUUUUUUGGAAAAUUUCAAUUUUUGUGUUUUAGCUGUUUAUAUCGGGUCAAAAUAAGAUGUUAAUAAAACUAUAAUUGAUAAAUUUACUGAAAUAAGAAAACCAUUAUGACAUGCUACGUUGGAACCCAUUGCUAUAAAUACCGUCGAUCAGGCAAGUAACUCUUCAGACUACGUGUUGCAGGAAUUACAGCCUAUAUCCUAUUAUUUAUCAGCAGAAAAUAUUAAUCAAGAUUUUCUUAAGAUUGAGGCAUCCUGCUCUAUUUCAAAUAACAAGGUUUCGAGUUGGCUAGAAACUAUUAAUAUUGACGACGUUAUUAUUGAACCUUUUCACAAUACUUAUUCAGUACAAAAGGACUCAAGUGACAUCAUACUGACAGCAACGGAAUCUAUUAGACCAACAACACCGGAUGCACCUUUACAAAUGUUAGGUGGCGAUCAAGCAAGUCACAAAGAGUCUGUAAAUUUAGAAGAUGAUACUGAUGAAGAUGACGAGGUCAAGGAGUUGUGUUUAGCUCAACUUGCUAAGAAAUUAAAAGUAUUACUGUAAAGUCAAACAGAUGGUUAUGUAGACCCAGAAGAAAACAUGAAAAAAAAAGAAAAGUCUGCAUUGACUUGAAGACCAGGAAAUUAAAUAAAAUUAAUGGCUGAAAAACAUCCGGUGCUGUCUGGAUGUAAAACUAACUGCAAAAAAAGUUGUUCUUCUAUAAACUGUGAAUUUUGGAAAGUUUCAAAAAGGGACAGAAAAUGUUUUAUUCUAAAUAGCUGUAAGCGAUUAACAGUAAAACGAAGAACGGGAGAAUAUGUUGCAAGAAAAAAUAACACGUUUAAGUAUUAUCUAGAUAAUGAGCAAGGUGAGUCUGUAAAUGUAUGCAAAACCUUUUAUUUAACUACAUUGGGAUAUAAACCUAAUAAUGACCGCGUAUUACAUGACACAUUAUCAAAGACACCUAAAGGACAGUUUACUCCUCUUCAACAUGGACGCAUAGAACAACGCUCGAUGAAAAAAAUAGAUGACGCAGAUAUUAAUGCUCAUAUUGAGUCUUUUCACCCAGAGGUUUCCCAUUAUCGCAGAGAACAUGCGCCGAACACUCGAUACCUUGGCAGUGAUGUGUCAAUCGCCCUCAUGCAUAGAGAUUUUCAGGAAAAGUUUCCUGCUAUAAAUGUUUCAUAUGAGACUUACAGACGAAAAGUUAAAGCCAAAAAUAUCUCGUUCACCAAGCUUGGACACGAAGAAUGCGAUAUAUAUGAAUCGUUUAAACUUCAUGGACAUACCAAAUAAAACCUCCAAGAAUCAUGUAAGAAAUGCGUUUUCUGGAAAAAUCAUAUUAAUCGUGCCAAUUUUAUAGGGAACAAUCCGAAACUACCUUUGAUUCUAAAACAAAAGGCGUUUCUUGUUUAAAAAGGUUAUUUUUUUGCAAAGGUUAAUAGCGUUUAAUGAAACCUUUGUCCCCCUGGGCAAGCUGUCGAAAAAUAAUAAGCCAUUUGCCGUUGUCUGGCAUGAAGGAAUUAGUAAACGUUCCAAAGAAGAUAUUAUUAGUACCUUUCACGCCUUUUUAAAGUUUAAUAGAGACGCCAAUAACAUAAUAAUAUGGAUGGACAAUCGUGCCAGUCAGAAUAAAAACUGGACAUUGUUUACUUUCUUAGUUAAAAUGAUAAACUAUAACGAAAUACAAGCCAACAAAAUAACUUUUAACUACUUUGAACCGGAACAUACUUUUAUGUCCGCUGAUAGUUUUCCAAAAUCGAAAUCACCAAAUCCAACUAUCUAUGAAGAGGAAACAAAAAAUCUAUGAUUUCAGCGACGUUCUUGAUGCAGUUGCAAGGGCAAUGUGGAUGUAAAAGCGAUGAAUUUUAAUAACUUUUAUGUUUGGAAGGAUAUGACAUCACAAACUAAGUUAAAAAAAGAUUUAGAAAACCGACCAUACCUUUCAGAUAUGGUUCAGGUUGUGGCUGAGCGCGGCCAAUACACUUUAAAAUAUAAAAAAAGUUUUACCGGAGAGUUUUAUGUUUUGGAUUUCCUAAUGAAUAAAGCUAUGCAAAAAAAAGAACUUCAUAAGCCUACACCAUCUUUACAACAACCCAGAGGAUUCCCAAAAGAAAAACGAGAUAACAUUCUCAAGCAAUUAGGUACCCAGUGUACCCAUUUAUGUUCCCAGAUAAUAGAAAACUGUUUUGGGAAAAUUUGCCUGACAUAAAAAAUGAUGACGGUAGCGAUGAGGAAGAAGAAACAUAAUUAUGUGUUUUUAAUAAUUAGCUUUAUUAGUUAAAGUGUUUUUUUUUGUAGAAUGUGUCCAUGAUAAGAACGAACUGCUUUCUGAUCCAGGAGAAGCGAUUUCUCAGAAACGAAACGUCGGAUAUAUUUUUUUUUGUUAAAUUUAUAAUAGGACGUUACGUCUCUGCGGAAUCGCUUUAUCCAUAUUAGAAAGCAGUUUAUUCUUAUCUCUGAACACACUGUAUACCAUUUUGUAAUGUGCACAUUCGUAUAUUUUAAUUAUAAAAAUUUAUAAAAAAAUACAAAUUAUUUAUUUUCCUUUU